GACAGAGGGAGGGAUGGAGUGGGUGACUAGUGACAGAGGGAGGGGGUGACAGUGACAGAGUGAGGGAGGUGGUGACUGUCACUAGUCACCACCUCCCUCACUCUGUCCCUAGUCACCCCCUUCCUCACUGUCACUAGUCACCCCUUCCCUCCCUAACUCU
rnacentral:miRNA from 1 species